rnacentral:rRNA from 1 species
CAUGGCUCAGAUUGAACGCUGGCGGCAGGCCUAACACAUGCAAGUCGAGCGGUAGCACAAGAGAGCUUGCUCUCUGGGUGACGAGCGGCGGACGGGUGAGUAAUGUCUGGGRAACUGCCUGAUGGAGGGGGAUAACUACUGGAAACGGUAGCUAAUACCGCAUAACGUCUUCGGACCAAAGUGGGGGACCUUCGGGCCUCACGCCAUCAGAUGUGCCCAGAUGGGAUUAGCUAGUAGGUGGGGUAAUGGCUCACCUAGGCGACGAUCCCUAGCUGGUCUGAGAGGAUGACCAGCCACACUGGAACUGAGACACGGUCCAGACUCCUACGGGAGGCAGCAGUGGGGAAUAUUGCACAAUGGGCGCAAGCCUGAUGCAGCCAUGCCGCGUGUGUGAAGAAGGCCUUCGGGUUGUAAAGCACUUUCAGCGAGGAGGAAGGGUAGUGUGUUAAUAGCACAUUGCAUUGACGUUACUCGCAGAAGAAGCACCGGCUAACUCCGUGCCAGCAGCCGCGGUAAUACGGAGGGUGCAAGCGUUAAUCGGAAUUACUGGGCGUAAAGCGCACGCAGGCGGUUUGUUAAGUCAGAUGUGAAAUCCCCGCGCUUAACGUGGGAACUGCAUUUGAAACUGGCAAGCUAGAGUCUUGUAGAGGGGGGUAGAAUUCCAGGUGUAGCGGUGAAAUGCGUAGAGAUCUGGAGGAAUACCGGUGGCGAAGGCGGCCCCCUGGACAAAGACUGACGCUCAGGUGCGAAAGCGUGGGGAGCAAACAGGAUUAGAUACCCCGGUAGU